AUUGAACGCUGGCGGCAGGCCUAACACAUGCAAGUCGAGCGAGCGGCGGACGGGUGAGUAAUGUCUGGGAAACUGCCUGAUGGAGGGGGAUAACUACUGGAAACGGUAGCUAAUACCGCAUACCAUCAGAUGUGCCCAGAUGGGAUGAGCUGGUAGGUGGGGUAACGGCUCACCUAGGCGACGAUCCCUAGCUGGUCUGAGAGGAUGACCAGCAACACGGGAACGGAGACACGGUCCAGACUCCUACGGGAGGCAGCAGGGGGGAAUCUUGCACAAUGGGCGCAAGCGUGAUGCAGCCAUGCCGCGUGUAUGAAGAAGGCCUUCGGGGUGUAAAGUACUUUCAGCGGGGAGGCGGUACCCGUAGAAGAAGCACCGGCUAACUCCGUGCCAGCAGCCGCGGUAAUUC
rnacentral:rRNA from 1 species